rnacentral:misc_RNA from 1 species
GAUGAAGAACGCAGUGAAACGCGAUAUUUCUUGUGAAUUGCAGAAGUGAAUCAUCAGUUUUUGAACGCACAUUGCACUUUGGGGUAUCCCCCAAAGUAUACUUGUUUGAGCGUUGUUUCUCUCUUGGAAUUGCUUUGCUCUUCUAAAAUUUCGAAUCAAAUUCGUUUGAAAAACAACACUAUUCAACCUCAGAUCAAGUAGGAUUACCCGCUGAACUUAAGCAUAUAAAUAAGCGGAGGA